AGCAGCCGCGGUAAUUCCAGCUCCAAUAGCGUAUAUUAAAGUUGUUGCAGUUAAAAAGCUCGUAGUUGAAUUUCGGGGUCAAUACGUCGGUCGUGCCUCGGUACGCACUAACGUUAUUGAUUCCUCCCUUCUGACGAACCGUGAUGUCAUUAAUUUGGUGUUGUGGGGAAUCAGGACUGUUACCUUGAAAAAAUUAGAGUGUUUAAAGCAGGCAAUCGCUCGAAUACAUUAGCAUGGAAUAAUGAAAUAGGACGUUCGAACCUAUUUUGUUGGUUUCUAGGAUCGACGUAAUGAUUGAUAGGGAUAGUUGGGGGCAUUAGUAUUCAAUUGUCAGAGGUGAAAUUCUUGGAUUUAUUGAAGACUAACUACUGCGAAAGCAUUUGCCAAGGAUGUUUUCAUUAAUCAAGAACGAAAGUUAGGGGAUCGAAGACGAUCAGAUACCGUCGUAGUCUUAACCAUAAACUAUGCCGACUAGGGAUCGGAUGAUGUUAAUUUUUUAAUGACUCAUUCGGCGUCUUACG
rnacentral:rRNA from 1 species